rnacentral:rRNA from 1 species
GGGUUGUGAGGUUAAGCGACUAAGCGUACACGGUGGAUGCCCUGGCAGUCAGAGGCGAUGAAGGGCGUGCUAAUCUGCGAUAAGCGCCGGUAAGGUGAUAUGAACCGUUAUAACCGGCGAUACCCGAAUGGGGAAACCCAGUGUGAUUCGUCACACUAUCAUUAACUGAAUCCAUAGGUUAAUGAGGCGAACCGGGGGAACUGAAACAUCUAAGUACCCCGAGGAAAAGAAAUCAACCGAGAUUCCCCCAGUAGCGGCGAGCGAACGGGGAGGAGCCCAGAGCCUGAAUCAGCAUGUGUGUUAGUGGAAGCGUCUGGAAAGGCGCGCGAUACAGGGUGACAGCCCCGUACACAAAAGCGCAUGUGCUGUGAGCUCGAUGAGUAGGGCGGGACACGUGGUAUCCUGUCUGAAUAUGGGGGGACCAUCCUCCAAGGCUAAAUACUCCUGACUGACCGAUAGUGAACCAGUACCGUGAGGGAAAGGCGAAAAGAACCCCGGCGAGGGGAGUGAAAAAGAACCUGAAACCGUGUACGUACAAGCAGUGGGAGCACAGGUUUACCUGUGUGACUGCGUACCUUUU